ACGCCUGAAGAUCAGAUUCUUCGAACAUGGCUCUUGCCUUUUACCAGAGCCAUCCGGGAUCUGUCUUUACUUGAAAAGGCAUUACUCGAAUUUUUGGAAAUCACUCCCUAUUGAUA
rnacentral:snRNA from 1 species